rnacentral:misc_RNA from 1 species
UUAUUCUGCCUGCUUUACAUAUUUCCAUUUAUGUAUUUUACUUUUUUUUAUUCCUUAACUUGCUUUCUCCUUGAAUGUUUGGUUUGGAUCAAUUUUUCAUGGAAAUGAACAACUGGUUUUCAUCAUGAUCUGGUUUUAUUUUGAGAAGUGUAUUAGUCAAAGCUACGUAUCUUUUUUCUGAAUAGUUUGAUUAAUUUAUAAAUCCUACUUUUAAGAACGAAGAUUUUGACACAUAUUCAUGAAUUUUAAAAACAGCGUUGUAUUUAUUACUAAUUUAUAAGUCAAGGCUCAGCCGCCAGAUUCAUGAAGGUCGCUAGAGUCUUAUGACGCCUCAGGCCAUCUUCAUGUGCCGAACUUGUGAAAAUAUGUUGUGCCCUGUACAGUUUUGUUGCCUUUGUUACACAAGUAAAGAUAAUUUUUGGAACUGUUUUUGAGGGCAAAAAACAUAUUUCUGAAACAAAGUUCUCAUCGGAAUGAAAAAUCACAGCAGCUGAGUUGGUAUGUCAUGGAUAUGUGUAGGCCUUCCCUGUCUACUCAGUCUAUCUACUUGGAACUUGUGAUAGUUUUUACGCAUCAGUGACCUCCCUGGCCGCCUAGAAAUAUUCUUUUCAAGAUAGCCCAACAUGGAAUGUAUUGUUUCAUCAUUUACUUAGCCGGUGUGGCGAUUUCUCGAUUUGGCAGCGACGACAAAAUACCAGCAGACGAUUUUAAUAAAAACAGAGUUUGCGCCGUUCUACCCCGGUGAAGUCACAUUUCGCCUUCUCCCCUCCCCUCGUCCCUUAACUGUUAGCAGUUGUCAACGCAACAGCGCCAUUUCAAAACAUGUCUUUCCAUGGCGCUCUUUGAUGUAACUCCAGUGUUAGAAGGUGCAACAAGUCUUCAAGGAAAACUAGAAGAUGCCAUUGCAAAAUCUAAACUUCUUCUUGAAGCUGUUGAAGGUUCUCAAUCAAAGUACACUGAGUUGAGUGACGAAUAUCCUGUGCUUCGAAGUCUGAAGGGUAGACUAGCUGCAUCACAGGGGCCAAACGAAGCUUUAUCUACAGAACUCGUCAAAUUCAAAUUAGACCUUGAAUCUUUUGUGGAAGAUGUAUUUAACGCUCACGAUCAAGUAAGGAAGGAUUUUCAACUUUGGACAAACGAGCUUGAAAGAGAUAAUGCAAAACUACGCCGUGAAAGAAUGGACUUGGCGAACGAACGAAGAAAACUUGAGGUUGAUCGCAGAGAUUUUGAUGCUAAGUGCCCGGCAGCAGCAAAGGAAGAACAACAAAUCACUGAAGCACGAACGGUUACCAGUACCGACGACACAGACGAGAAAUUAGUUAUUGCUGUAAAUAACAACACAGAACAUCAUGAGGAAAAUGAACAAACUAAAUCUGAAUCACCUUUUGCAACAUGUCAUGUUGAAUGCCAGACAGAAGCUGAGGUGAAUUCAGUAGAGGAGCCUGGUGGAGAAGACAUCCAAACGGCUGAGACCAUCCCAGGAAAGGAUGAAGAAGAGAAACUGGAAAUGGAAAAUCAUCAGUUGUUGCAAUGCAGGUCUCAAAUACACACAGCAUCCAUUGGUAGAAAUCAGCGCAUUCUUACUGCUCCAGUGUCCAGAGCAAAAGCUCUGCUUCUUAAAAAACAGGAUCAUGCAUUAAGGAUACACAAGAUGCUACUUGAUGAUAUCUAUAAGACGAAAGAAGAAAACCAACUUCUCAAGGCUGAGAACUCUAUACUGUCAAAGAGAGCAAAUGAAGCCACCUCUGAGUUAUUUCGCCUAAAGAACAAAAUGACAGUAAACAUGUCUGAUAGGGAUGAGCUGUACAAGAAAUUGCAGAAAUCAAAGGAGCAGAUCCUAAAACUUGAACAAACACUGAAAAGACAAGCUCUUGGUCUGGUAUCCAAUUUAAAGGAACAAAGACAACUAAAAGAGGAAAUGAGGUGGAGCCAGGUAAGUUGGUGAAACCCAAAAGUCUGCAUGUAAUCUGAGGCCACACAUGAAGGUAGCAAAGAGGAAGGGAUGUGGAGAGGAACCAGGCUGGAACAAGAGAGGUGGAAUGAUUGAAGGGAUCUUUGCUCUUCCUCUUAACCAACAUUCCAGUCAAACCAGAAGGAUUCCACGAGAAAGACCAUCUACUAGGGGGCGCUAAAUGUUUUGUCAGACCAUAUGACUAAUAUGUAAAACUGGGGAAAUUUUCAACAUUCCUAGCUUGUUCUCAGUCAUUGGAGAAAUUUAUCCAUUGCUUGACAUGUACAGAGAAAGUGAACUGAUACCAAGAUAACGCAUAAUUUACAACUGAGUUGAAAACCAUUCCCUGUUCAGUACUUCUUAAAAAUAUUUAUGUUAAACAACCUUUUGAAAAUGAUAUAAAGCAGUCUAAAUUUCAAA